UACGAAGGGGGCUAGCGUUGUUUCGGAAUCACUGGGCGUAAAGCGCACGUAGGCGGAUCUUUAAGUCAGGGGUGAAACUCCCGAGGCUCAACCUCGGAACUGCCUUUGAUACUGGGAUCUCGAGUCCGGGAGAGGUGAGUGGAACUGCGAGUGUAGAGGUGAAAUUCGUAGAUAUUCGCAAGAACACCAGUGGCGAAGGCGGCUCACUGGCCCGGAACUGACGCUGAGGUGCGAAAGCGGUGGGAGCAAACAGGG
rnacentral:rRNA from 1 species